rnacentral:lncRNA from 1 species
AUGUAAGUGGGCCUUUUCAAACUAAUCAAGAAGUGUUUCCCAAUCCCGAUACCCGAACUAUUUACUUACAAGUGUGGGUUUUAUAAGUCACUAAUGCUGUCAACGUGAGGGGAUGACAUGUCUACACAGUCAUGGCCCUCACUUAGAGUUUCCCCAGAUGUGCUUUUUUCCUCAACUAUGAGUUUUUGCCACUGGGUUUUUUGACCU